ACGCACGCUGGCGGCAUGCCUAACACAUGUAAGUCGCACGAGACCUUCGGGUCUAGUGGCGCACGGGUGCGUAACGCGUGGGAACCUGCCCUUAGGUUCGGAAUAACUCCCCGAAAGGGGUGCUAAUACCGGAUAAUGUCUUCGGACCAAAGAUUUAUCGCCUUUGGAUGGGCCCGCGUUGGAUUAGCUAGUUGGUAGGGUAAAAGCCUACCAAGGCGACGAUCCAUAGCUGGUCUGAGAGGAUGAUCAGCCACACUGGGACUGAGACACGGCCCAGACUCCUACGGGAGGCAGCAGUGGGGAAUAUUGGACAAUGGGCGAAAGCCUGAUCCAGCAAUGCCGCGUGAGUGAUGAAGGCCUUAGGGUUGUAAAGCUCUUUUACCCGGGAUGAUAAUGACAGUACCGGGAGAAUAAGCUCCGGCUAACUCCGUG
rnacentral:rRNA from 1 species